rnacentral:lncRNA from 1 species
AUUUGUCGGAUCGAGAGAGUGUGAGAAGAGCUCUCCACAUACCCGAGAUGGAUAUUACAGAAAUUAUGUUAAUUCCAAAUACUUUAAAGUCCAAAUGUGCGAAAGUCCAUAGAGUCUAUCAUCGUCGGUCUUUCGCCCUUCUCGUACAUCGUCUCCGUCGUUGUUCGUCCACUUCGUCAUCGCCAUUGUUGUCGCACUCUGUCGCGCCCUUAUCGGUCGUCCCGACGCGACGAACUGCUUUCCAUCGUUAAGAUUUACAUUUGAGUUGUUCGCCCACUCUCAAAAGUACGUCUCUGCUGACCUGUCUUCUCUUCUCUACCGUCUUCUGUUGUCUUUCUC